rnacentral:rRNA from 1 species
AUUGAACGCUGGCGGCAGGCCUAACACAUGCAAGUCGAGCGGUAGCACAAGAGAGCUUGCUCUCUGGGUGACGAGCGGCGGACGGGUGAGUAAUGUCUGGGAAACUGCCUGAUGGAGGGGGAUAACUACUGGAAACGGUAGCUAAUACCGCAUAACGUCUUCGGACCAAAGUGGGGGACCUUCGGGCCUCACGCCAUCAGAUGUGCCCAGAUGGGAUAGCUAGUAGGUGGGGUAAGUGGCUCACCUAGGCGACGAUCCCUAGCUGGUCUGAGAGGAUGACCAGCCACACUGGAACUGAGACACGGUCCACGACUCCUACGGGAGGCAGCAGUGGGAAUAUUGCACAAUGGGCGCAAGCCUGAUGCAGCCAUGCCGCGUGUGUGAAG